CUUUAAAUGUCUCUUCUAACUGAAAUGAUUCUGUGAUUCUACACUGGGAUUCAACUCUGUGCUCAUUUGUCAGAAAGAAGUGGAAAUGUUUUCAGGGAAAGAGAAGAAAAGGGAAGAAUGUUGGAAGACUUGCACUUCAAGGGGACAGUUUACACCUUGUGAUUAUAUACGCCAGAGAAAUACAACAUGUAAUGCUUCAUGAAAAAGAAGACAAGGUUAACUGUGAUGCAAUUGAAGAUGCUGAUAUGCAACACAUCAAGCCUGGUUGCUGGCACGCCUAUCAUCUUCAGGGAACGAGAUCCAGCAACAGAAUUCCAAGCACUGGAAGGGGUUGCUACAGAGCUGGGGCUGGGGAGAGGAAACUGCCUGCUGGAGUGCUUUGUGUCCCUGUGAAGGUACAUUACACAGCAAAUAAUAAAGAACAUUUUAAUAUCAGCUGGCUCAUACUUAGCUUCAUGGGGCAGCCAUCUCAAAGGUAGUUUGUAGUUAUUAUUUUAUGGAAUAAAUUUAGCAUCUUUGUGAGAAAUCUAGGGGUG
rnacentral:lncRNA from 1 species